AAGUCGUAACAAGGUUUCCGUAGGUGAACCUGCGGAAGGAUCAUUACAAAUCCAUCGCGUCUCUACCCGAGACACCGUCUAAACGUUCCGGGGCUGAGAAGCCACAAGGACAUCACUUCACGGUGCAUGUCUGGCUUCUCGGCACCCACCCCCCUUUAUUAAACCCUAGUGUGACUGUUGCUUCAUAUGUAUUGUUCAUUGUUGAACACAAACAACACAAGAACAACUUAUAACAAUGGAUCUCUAGGCUCUU
rnacentral:misc_RNA from 1 species